CCCACCUCCCUCCACCCCCUCAUAUUCUGUGUAAACUUAAUUGUCCCUCAAAAGUCAACCGCUUCCAUAAGUCUUUAUUUAACAGGCCCUGAAUGAAUGACAUUGUUUCAGGAAUGCUGAGCAUAUUAGCUAUUAAAAAGAGUGUGUUUGUGUGUGUGUGUGUGUGUGUGUAUGUAUGUGUGGGUGGAUGUGCGUGCACGUGCAUAGGUCUUCAUAUGCACUGUUCCCCCCGCUGACUAUGUGACUAAGGCUUCGACUUGUAACCUCCCGUUUCCCAAAAUAUCAGCUCAGCCCGGGAAUUUUCACUUUUCUUCUUUCUUUCCGAAGGAUGGAUUGGAUUAUCUUCAGACGGAGCCAAGCUGGGUUCAUGAUUCCAGUCUCUAUGCUAAGCUAAGCAGCUGCUGCUUCUAGUUCCACACGUAUCUGCUGAAUCUUGAAGAGAAGAACCAUUUUCUCACUAAAUCCAAACAACCGCCUCCCGACAGUAACACCAGUUCAGUUUGGCCGUCCAGCUGCAAUAACUGAUGGAAUUACCCCAAACUAAGGCAUUGGCAUGUUUUAAACGAGUGCCCCUUGUGAUUACCCUUAACAGAUUUGCACCUCCUGUCACUCCUGGUUAAAAACACCUCGGCCACGACCAGACUGGAUUGCAGGAGAAACGUUUAUUUUUCCUAUUUCCACCCCGACCAACACUCCCUUUACUUUCUAUGCAAACCUUCUAAAGUGGGAAAGGCGUUGGUCUGUGUGCAGACUGAGUCAGUGGCGGGACAGGACACUUUAACGCUUCAUAGGUAAGGCGACCAACACCCGGUACCAAACUCCAAACAACCUGUAAAUACGUAACACUAUAUUUAAGUUCUGAUAAUAAUCCCAUCUUCUUUUUUUUGUCUUUGAAAUUUUAAAGAUAGAGAUGUAUUUAUCGUUGCUGUCAGCAUAUACUGUAGCUUCAAUUGACAGCAUUAUGUACAUAGGUCACCUUUUAGUAUUAUUUCACAUUGAAAAGUAGAGGGCGUUUGUGAUGGAAACUACUAUUGAGCUUCUAAUAAGAGUUUCUCUCUAGUUUUGUACGGUAGAAGGAAGGACAGUGCGAACACGGUACAGUAGUGGCAGUCCACUUGUUUCAGAAGUUUGAUAUGUGUACGUAAUGCGUACGUACACACAGCUGCACACACGCGCCUGUGUGUAUGUAUACAAGUACGUGUAUACAUGUAUCAAUAUGUACACAGAAAGCUGCUAGAUGCAAUCACUAAUUUUAUUGUGUUGACAGAGAAAAUCAGCUAUGAACGACUGUUAAACCCUAAUCCUCCAACAGCGUAUAACCAUGACAGUGAGUUCUUAGUGUUUGAUUUCUCUGCUUGAUGAAGUGUGUGUGUGUGUGUUCUUUUGUGCCCGAGAGAGAGUGAGUGAGUGUGUGUGUGUGUGUUUCCAGUGUGCGCGUGCGGGGUUGGUGUGUAACCAAAUGUUUGGGUGGUUGUCAUAGUCUCCCAUUGUAAUUGGAUUUGCCGUGCAUUUUUUUUGCAAGCUGAACCAAGGUUUGAUGAACCUGAUUAAAACUUGCUGGCUGAGAAGCAAAAUGUAGGACGUGCAUUUAUACAAAGUGUAGAGAAUGCUGAAAUAACACUUCUCAUUCUGCAUUAACCAGCACAGUGCAACUUCCUGUCAUGUACUGUAUUAUAUAUGCAACAUGUGUCUGUCUGCUUUAAUAUAUAUAUUUUUUUGACCUGCAUUAUAUAAGACUUCAGUUUUAACCACUUUGCUGCUAGUCUUUUAUCCUCUUUCAAUCUUGGAAAUUGUGCAUAUCUUUGGGAAUGCAUACAAGUGUACAUUAUUGACAUUGUGUAGAUUAAAAAAGAAAAAAGCUAUAUAAACAAGUUUUUCUUCAGUGUAUUGUUUUUAAAGGUUACUUUUCACAGCAGUUGAGUGGUUAUGUUUCAAUUCUCCGAUGCUUUGGUGCACUGAUGAUACUAUAUGUAAUUUUUUUUUCAUCUUACAGCGCUUGAUGUAACAUUUAUGUGAUUAGUUCUAAAUAGUGGAAGACAUUUGUGUUUUGAAACUUGCAGUAUAAAUGGUACUACUCUUAACUAUUCUGUAAACACUGCCUGUUUUACUUUCUUUUAUCCUUUCACUCUCAGUGUGCAUAUUUCUCUCCUGUGCAUCGAUUUGUUUCCCUCGAAGUUUCUUAGUGCCAUCGGCUUUCACAUCCUGACAACCUCAAAAAAGUGCCUCACGUCCAUCCUAGUAUCCAUUUUAUAAUUUAACAUCUCUCGUUCUGGUUCUUUUGGUUCCUACACGUCUAGGUAUUUCCUCUCAUGGUUCGAGAAUACCGAGUAUAUAAUUUAUAGUCCCAAUAACUCAUGUCAUAGUUGUAUUUUCUUUAUACAGAUGUAGCUCGUUACUUUUCAUAAAUAUAUAAUGUAAAUAUGCAUACAUAUGUUUGUAACUGUUUUUACGUUACAUCAUACACUUGUAAUUUGACA
ensembl:lncRNA